rnacentral:miRNA from 14 species
ACUGGCCUUAAUUUUAUAAUAUAUAUAUAUAUAUAUAUGUGUGUGUGUGUGUGUGUGUGUGUGUGUAUACACACAUAUACAUAUAUACUCAUAUAUAAUAUAUAUA